rnacentral:rRNA from 1 species
AUUGAACGCUGGCGGCAGGCUUAACACAUGCAAGUCGAGCGGGGGAGGUUGCUUCGGUAACUGACCUAGCGGCGGACGGGUGAGUAAUGCUUAGGAAUCUGCCUAUUAGUGGGGGACAACAUCUCGAAAGGGAUGCUAAUACCGCAUACGUCCUACGAGAGAAAGCAGGGGACCUUCGGGCCUUGCGCUAAUAGAUGAGCCUAAGUCGGAUUAGCUAGUUGGUGGGGUAAAGGCCUACCAAGGCGACGAUCUGUAGCGGGUCUGAGAGGAUGAUCCGCCACACUGGGACUGAGACACGGCCCAGACUCCUACGGGAGGCAGCAGUGGGGAAUAUUGGACAAUGGGGGGGACCCUGAUCCAGCCAUGCCGCGUGUGUGAAGAAGGCCUUUUGGUUGUAAAGCACUUUAAGCGAGGAGGAGGCUACUGGUAUUAAUACUACCGGAUAGUGGACGUUACUCGCAGAAUAAGCACCGGCUAACUCUGUGCCAGCAGCCGCCGUAAGAC